GGCCUCAAGUGAUGUGUGACUACCCCC
rnacentral:rRNA from 2 species